rnacentral:rRNA from 1 species
UACGGGGGGGGGCAAGCGUUGUUCGGAAUUACUGGGCGUAAAGGGCUCGUAGGCGGCCAACUAAGUCAGACGUGAAAUCCCUCGGCUUAACCGGGGGAACUGCGUCUGAUACUGGAUGGCUUGAAUCCGGGAGAGGGAUGCGGAAUUCCAGGUGUAGCGGUGAAAAUGCGUAGAUAUCUGGAGGAACACCGGUGGCGAAGGCGGCAUCCUGGACCGAUAUUGACGCUGAGGCGCGAAAGCCAGGGGAGCAAACGGG